UACGGGGGGAGCAAGCGUUGUUCGGAUUUACUGGGCGUAAAGGGCGCGUAGGCGGCCACUGCAAGUCAGUUGUGAAAUCUCCGGGCUUAACCCGGAAAGGUCAACCGAUACUGCGGGGCUAGAGUGCAGAAGGGGCAACUGGAAUUCUCGGUGUAGCGGUGAAAUGCGUAGAUAUCGAGAGGAACACCUGCGGCGAAGGCGGGUUGCUGGGCUGACACUGACGCUCAUGCACGAAAGCGUGGGGAGCAAACAGG
rnacentral:rRNA from 1 species